CCAUCAGCUGAUUGGACACCAAGAAGAAUGUCUCCCUCAUCUGCAGGGGGACAGUUUCACUUUAGAGUAUCCACAGCUCUCAAAUUUUAAAGGGGACAAGGAGGUUCCACAGCCCCCCUAUUUCAAAGAGGAAGAGGAGGGAGAGUGUCCUGUAGGGCAGGAGGAGGCUGAUGUCAGCAAGUUUCCACUGACUGUUGUCUCUGUGAAGACUGAAGAGCAUGAAGACAAACCACCUGAGUCCUCACAGCUUCAUCACAGUCCAAAUGUCUGUGAAGAACAUCUUCACCCUGAGCAACAGAAGUGGAGCUUCAGGAUGCGGACAGAGGAGCCACAGCCCUCCCACAUUAAGAAGGAAGAGGAAUACCCACUGAUACUCCAUUUUAAAAAGGAAGUGGUGGAUCCACUGAGCCCUCACAUUAAGGAGGAAGAGGAGGAACACAGCAUCAGUCAGCCUAAAAGGUUGGUGGAGUUCCCAGUGACUGGUGUCCCUGUGAAGAGUGAAGAUGAUGAGGUGAAAGGUGAAAGUGAGGAGAGGGGAGGGGGGGAGCCUCCAAGCAGCAGCUCAACACAACACAUGACAACAGAAGCUGAUGGAGACCACUGUGGAGGAUCACAAGCAGACAAGCUCUUAGCUCCACUAUCAGAUAGUGAGGACACAACGUCACACUCUCCUGACACUGAUGAUGAAGACUCUAAAGAUGAUAAGACAUGUCACACUGACAACACUCACUUCACAUCUUCUCACUCUCACAAAACUUUUAAAUACCAUUGUCGUCUGAAAAGACACAUGAGAACACACACUGGAGAAAAACCUUUUACUUGUUCAAUCUGUAGUAAAGGUUUUGUAAAAAGUAGCUAUUUGAAAGUACACAUGAGAACACACACUGGAGAAAGACCUUUUUUCUGUUCAAUCUGUGGUAAAGUUUUUAUUCGAAGGUACUAUUUAAAAUCACACAUGAGUACACACACUGGAGGAAAACAUUGUUCCUGCUCAGAAUGUGGUAAAAAUUAUACUCAAAGCCAUAAUUUGAAAACACACAUGAGAAUAGACACUGGAGAAAAACCUUUUUCAUGUUCAAUCUGUGGUAAAAAUUUUACUCGAAGGCAAAAUUUUAAAACACACAUGACAAUACACACUGGAGAAAAACCUUUUUCAUGUUCAAUUUGUGUCAAAAA